UCUCUGCUGCUUUAUGCAAUUGUGUCCCCAGCCAAGCCACUGGGGUAGGGGAUGGAGGAGGGAGUGCUCUGUUUGCUCUCCUCUAACUGAAUACCCCUCCCUUCACUAGGGCAGAGCUGGGGAGCUUGCAGUCAUAAACACUACACAUUGCAGCAGUGCCCAUUUGUUUUCCGCUUACUGUCCUUAUUCUUCCAUAUGCAAACCAGGCAGCUUAAGUUUACUUUGAUGGGCAAAGUUGCUGCAGGGUCAAAUGGAAAGAAGAGAUUGGCAGGAAAGGAGCAAAUCCUCCUUAAAUGAAAGUGUCUGCAGUAAUUAGCAAAUGUUGCAAAAAUGAGCUGAUAAACAAGCAAAAGGUUCUGUAGCAGGCUGAGACUGCACAAGGGAUCUGGGUCUGCAGCAGAGCAGCAAUCUGUGGAUGCCUGAUUGCAGCUGACAGCAGGGAUGGACCCCAGAGCGAGCUGCAGCGCCGAGACACGUGGGAGGUGUCGCACACGGUUUGCUCAUCACCCGUUUGCUGCAGAGGCAGCUCGUCGCUUCUCCCUGCAAUGAAAGAGAAGGACAAGGGCACCUCAGAGACAUCAAAGCACAGCAUCCUCUGGGAAAAGGAGAGAUAAAGAGAGAAGAAAAUGUUCCAGAAGUACGGACAAGCAGGAGUUGUGUUCAGCCCCUUUUGGAACAAUAAUCUCCCGAAGGUGUUGGAGCGCUCCAGCAACGCGCAGCGGGAGCAGCCGGGGCUCUGUGCGCAGCGUAAUCUGAUCAUGCUCUGUUUGGAUAAGAAACACAGCUUCAUGCUUUUCACUUGCUAGCAAAGAGAUUUAUUAUGAAAAUCAGUUCCCUGCCUCAGAGCACAUAAAAAACAGUUGGCUUCAUAACCUUGGGGGAAAAAAAUAAAUAAAGAAAUCCCAUGAGACACGCGUGAGAACUGACCCCACUGAUGGUUUAAUGAGGAUGGUGCGUGCCACUCACCUGGAUCAAUAAUUUUUGCACAUUCCUGCCAAGCUCCCACCACAGGCCCUGUCUCAGCCCAGCAAAGAAGACCUUGCCAUGUUUCAGGAAGAAAGGUACAUUCAGAGGCUGCGUUUGGCUCAGGAGGCACCACUGCAAUGAGAGGCUUCAGCUCUUCCCACGGGUGUGAUAAUUCACAGUUUAAAUAAGUUUUUCCUGUCCUGAAGGUAAAAUACAACACAGAAACUGCCACGAGCAUUUUUUUUGGUUUGUGGUUGCAGCAUGGCCUUUUCUGCCCCUUGGACAUAUGCCAUGAAUGCUUUAAUCCUGGCAAGGGUUUUAUCUUAAACAGAUACAAUGAGGGAUCUGAGAAGUAGGUCAGGGGACAUUAGAGGCUGUUUGAUUCAUUGAAUUGUGUGCAUAGCACGCUUUCAGGCCUGAAAUGUCAUUACCUGGAUGCGAUGAAGCUGCUGUUUUGUUUUAGAAAAUAGUCAAAUGGAUGGUUAGGAGGAGAAAGGAGAGAGGAAGGACUGGGUUUCUGGGGACCAAACCCAUUUCAAGCAGGAAGCCACCACCCCAAGCAGGUGCCUGAGCCUCGUGGUGGCAGCAGGGACCAGCAGCACCCAGAGGGGCAGGGUGGGGCUCUGGGGUGGCCAUGGGGUUACCGAUGUGGGAACAGGGGAGCUGCAGCUGUCGCCUCUGCUGGCAAAACAGUGCUUGGGGACUCCUGACAUCCUUUCCAAAGUAUUGAUGAUAUUUUUUUUCCCCCUCACAGUGCUUUACCACUCUGUGUCUGUCCAGGGUGCAGAGUUUUCAUUUCUUUUAAUGGUUCUCAAGAAAUUAUUGAGAAAUAAAAAUGCAUUUCAAAGUUA